AUGCUAUGGAAGAUCUACAUCUUAUUCAAAUUUUUUAUUUUAGUAGGCAAUCACUCUGUUUAGAUUCAGCAUGCAUAUUCUUGCCUAAAGUUGUAGGUUGUGGUUUAAAUGACAAUCAUGUUUUCAAAGUUUUUGCAGUAUUGUCUUGGUCUUCUUAAGUAAAUCUCUAGCAGCUGGCAUCCCCAAGGAUCCCUGCUGGUGCUACGUAAAGGAAAGAAGUGACUUCACCAGGCAAGGAAAUGUGGGACCUUCUGGCCAUACAGUGUUUCUGAUGGAGGAGGGGAGUCUCAGGCCAGGCAUACAGGGAGAACACUUCAAGGACUGCAACCACUCAUUGUGGUAUCAUCCUAUUUGCUGGUACUCCCAGCUGUGAGUUGUCUCCAGUGACACAAAGGAAAAUACUGGAAGGUAUGAUUGUCAUUUAACUACAGCUAAAUGAUGCUUUAGAGAGGCCAGCAAGGUAACCCAGGUGGCGAAGCCGACCAAUGGGAAUCACAGUGACACAGGAUGAAUAAGCCCAAUCUCACAACUCUGCUCCAGCCAACUGCUGCCAGGAGAAGAUAUGAACUCAAUGUUGCCAGCUUACCAUCUGACUUUUAAAGAUAAGCUGAAAAUCUAGAUUUUUAUAUAAAUGGUCCUGAAUGUUAGGUGUUUGCAACUAACUCAAGAUAAAACAACAAUGGUGUGGACCAAACAAAGCUUUUCUCAAGUAAAGCUCAGCCUAUGUGCUAUUAAUCUACAACCUCUGUUUUAGUGUUUAUGAAGUAAUUUUUUUCUUUACAAUAUACUAUCAAUUUUAACCUUCACAACAAA